GCGCGUCUGGAUUCCCACCAUGGCCUGGGCCCCUCUGCUCCUCGCGCUGCUCAUUUACUGCUCAGGGGCCAGCUCGCAGCCCACGCUGACCCAGCCGCCUGCAGACUCAGUGUCCUUGGGAAACACCGUGAAACUCUCCUGCACUCUGAGCAGUCAGCACAGCAGCUACAACGUUGGAUGGUACCAACAAAGAGAUGGGCAGGCCCCUCGGUUCCUUUGGUAUGGCUCUAGCAUCAAAGGAGACGGGGUCCCAGAUCGAUUCACUGUUUCCAGCUCUGGAGCCAUUCGCUAUUUAACCAUCACCAAGGUCCAGCCAGAGGAUGAGGCCACUUAUUACUGUGGUACAGGUGAUAGCAAUGGGUAACUCACCAUGACACAAUCAGAUGGGGAACUGAGACAAAAACCUCCCCUCACCCAGGCUGUGCACAACUGGGUUCCACUCUCUACGCAGAGCUUUGCAUUUUACUUUCAACAAAUCAGCUGAUUGUUGGACACUGAGAACUCCAGCCUCCCACAGUCUGAGAGGGAAUGUCUCCUCCUGUCCCUCUUCACAGCCUUUGCAGAGGGACAAAGCAGCUUUUACGUGUUGCUUCCCUACUUGGCCCUGCAGGCUGCACAGACAGCCCUUCCCCCCUCUCAGCCCCCCAGAGUUCUCCUCCCAGCGUCUGAACAGUCAGGAACAGUUCCCCCCCUCGGUGAUAAAUAACAAGUAAAAGGCUCGGGGUUACAAGUAACGUGAAUCCAUCUCAGCUGAAGGAACGCUAUCGACUGCUGUAUUCAACCAUAUACGUGACAAAACCUUCUCCGCUCUGAUUCCCUGCGAUGGGCUUUCCCUUCCACAUGCAGUGUUGGAUCUCCCUGUAAACACAGAGCUGGGUCCCAGAGACCAAGUAAAGACCAGGAUAAAUCACAGCAGAGGUUACUGCCUGUACUGAUAGUCGUUUCUAAGCCAGAACUGUUCUUCCACCCACCACUAUCCGUGUCCCAAGGUCUCUCUUCAGAGUUUAGUACCAGGGAAAGCU